GAUGAAGAACGCAGCGAAAUGCGAUAAGUAAUGUGAAUUGCAGAAUUCAGUGAAUCAUCGAAUCUUUGAACGCACAUUGCGCCCGCCAGUAUUCUGGCGGGCAUGCCUGUUCGAGCGUCAUUACAACCCUCAGGCCCCCGGGCCUGGCGUUGGGGAUCGGCGGAGCCCCCCGUGGGCACACGCCGUCCCCCAAAUGCAGUGGCGGUCCCGCCGCAGCUUCCAUCGCGUAGUAGCUAACACCUCGCGACUGGAGAGCGGCGCGGCCACGCCGUAAAACACCCAACUCUUCUGAAGUUGACCUCGAAUCAGGUAGGAAUACCCGCUGAACUUAAGCAUAUCAAUAGCGGAGGA
rnacentral:misc_RNA from 1 species